rnacentral:rRNA from 1 species
GUAAUAGCUCACUAGUCGAGUGACGCCGCGCCGAAAAUUUACCGGGGCUAAGCAUGAUACCGAAACUGUGGAUGUGCGUUUAUGCACGUGGUAGGAGAGCGUUCUAGCGGCGGUGAAGCAUGACUGAGAAGACAUGUGGAGCUUCUAGAAGUGAGAAUGCCGGUAUGAGUAACGAAAGACAGGUGAGAAUCCUGUCCGCCGC